GACGUAGGGAGCGGGCGUUGUCCGGAUUCAUUGGGCGUAAAGAGCGCGCAGGCGGCUUGGUAAGUCGGAUGUGAAAACCCGGAGCUCAACUCCGGGCGUGCAUCCGAUACUGCCCGGCUAGAGGUAGGUAGGGGAGAUCGGAAUUCCUGGUGUAGCGGUGGAAUGCGCAGAUAUCAGGAGGAACACCGGUGGCGAAGGCGGAUCUCUGGGCCUUACCUGACGCUCAGGCGCGAAAGCUAGGGGAGCGAACAGG
rnacentral:rRNA from 1 species